GAUGAAGAACGUAGCGAAAUGCGAUACUUGGUGUGAAUUGCAGAAUCCCGUGAACCAUCGAGUCUUUGAACGCAAGUUGCGCCCGAAGCCAUUAGGCCGAGGGCACGCCUGCCUGGGCGUCACACGUCGUUGCCCCCCCAUCUAUUCCUUCGGGAUUGCGGGGGGCGGAUGAUGGCCUCUCGUGCGCCUCGUCGCGCGGUUGGCCUAAAUGCCAAGUCCUCGGCGACGCACGCCACGACAAUCGGUGGUUGCGAAACCUCGGUUGCCUGUCGUGUGCGGUCGUCGCGCAUCGAGGGCUCGAAAAAAUUGCCGGGCUUCGGCUCGACUUUCAACGCGACCCCAGGUCAGGCGGGGUUACCCGCUGAAUUUAAGCAUAUCAAUAAGCGGAGGA
rnacentral:misc_RNA from 1 species